rnacentral:lncRNA from 1 species
CCCACUAGCAUUUUUCCAAGUGUCACAUGUCUCUGGUUAUCUUUCAGGUACCCAAGGCCCAUGACUCUCCAGACAGCAUGUGUUCAGCCAGCAAGUCAGUGCUUCAAAAUUUAUUAGCAGUUCAAACUACAUGAAUCUGACCAAAUGCAUACUGGUUACUGUACACUCCUUAGCGUUUGGAUUGAAAGGUGGCAGAACUGGUUGCCAUCUUUAAACAACGUUAACAGGAAAACAAUAGUAGAGCGCCUAAAAGAGUCAAACAGCAGGAAGAUAACUUUGCCAAAAAAUAGAUCUUGCCCAAAUAUAUGUGCAGCAAUGAAUCUGGAAUUAAAUCCAAAAGAAAACAAGAGAAGAAAUAUUCCUGCUAGUACAUAUAGUUUUAGCAAAGAUUUGUCAAGAAAGGGCAGCGAUGAGUUAAAAUCUUCCUCCAAAAUAUCUCAGGAGGAGGAAGGGGAUUAUGAGACUGUAAGUAGUUCCACUCUGGAGGCUAUUCAUGCUCUGAGAAUUCUUCCUGCCAAACCUCUACAAGAAUCUGAAUAUGCAGACACACGUUGUUUAAAGUCUUUAGGUACCACUUCCCAUAUGACUAACCAGCACGCAUCUUCUAAGCCUCCU